CGGUGCAGGAGCAGGUGGGGGGCGGGCGAGGGGCGGGGGUCACGCUGGGUGCCGUCCCCCAGAGGGACCCAAAGCUGCCACCAAAUGCACAGGGAAAUUGCAUUCCAAUGUCUUGGAACAGAGGCUCAUCGGAAGUUCUCUCAGCUAUCCAAGGCACGGAGCCCUGGAGCCAAGGCAGCCUGAGCUGCUGCGUGCUUGCUGUGAGCCUUGAGGGCAGGACAGCGUUCAGACUGAAAGUGUAAGAAGAUGUGGAGUGAGACAGAGAAUCUGACAGGAGCAUCGGACUCACAAGUGCACGAAUUUUGCAGAGUGCCGCUUGGAUUUAAACUCAGAAGUUGUAAGGAAUUUGGGAGGGAGAAGGGACAUUUCAGAAGGAGAAGAAGGAGAAGAUGUUACAGUCCUGGCAAAACCUUUUGUUCUGGCUAAUAAAAGAAGUUAGUUUAAAAAAUAAAAAAUAAAAUUUAAAAAGUGGUUUUUUUUCCUUCA